CUUUGUACAUUUAAUUUUUCUCAGUGCAGGCCAGGCGCAAGCCAAAGACUUUGAUUAGUCGCAUUUACUGGGGAAGCUGGCCAAUUUAUUUCUAUCCAGUCGAUCUACCAACGCCACGGAUCGAAGUUUGCAUCCCAGAGAUCCAGGCUAAUUGAACCAGUUCCGCCGUGGCUGCAGCUAUGCAAAUAACCCCAGUUGCCCUCUUGUCGUCUCAAUGGAGGUCCUGCCACCAGGACGCUGCAAAAGGGGGGCCAGGACAUCAACACCAACAGGAACAGCAACAGCAACAGCAACACGAGCACGAAGAAAAAGAAAAAGAAAAAGAGAAACAACGACUCUGACGACGGCAAUAUCAAACACAGGAGGUCCUGUGCGGAGCACUGCAGUUUGCCUUAAUGAGUGGGGCAAUAAUUGUUGUUGUCGUCGUCGUCGCUGAAUCCUGCUGAAUCCUGCUGGUGGUGCGACUCCUUGAGCACUCACUCCUGUACCCACUCCUGUGUGCCCCGCCAGUGUUUGCAUAAAGUAAAUGCCAUUAUACAAGCAAGUUGCGCUGUAAAUUCACUUCAAAUGUACAAAAGCACUCGCCCUGAAAGCCGUAAAGUAUGCGAUAUGACAGUGCAUAAAGGAUGCGAGCGUUGGCGAGCUGGGGAGGAUCCUUCUUCCUUUAUCAGAGCUCCCCCUCCUCCCAUUUGUUUCACAACUCUGCGCUUUAAUAAAUACAAAUGCAAAGUAAAUUAACCAAAUCUUAGCUGGCUGCUCAUUCCAAAGACUCAUUCAGGAUCACUUCGAGAUGGAGAUGAUAUUCAGCGCCACAUAUACCCUGCAAUUGAAGGCAGUGAGGCAGACGUGGAGUGGUCUCUGCGUCCAAAUGAUGUACAUAUCCAAGUCCUUGAAGUCUUGCCUUUCGUGCUCAGUUAUGUCACACUUCCUCAGAU